AGCAUCAUGCUCAUGCCAAAGAUUAAGCCAUGCACAUGCAAGCAUAAAUUUCAUUUUUAUGGUAGGUGGAAUUAUUUUUUUAUUAAUUCCAUCAAGAAUGUGAAGCUGUUUAAGGCUCUGUAAAUCAGUCCUGAGUCUGUAGUUCUUUUUGUGGGUAAAAAACAGAUAUAUCAGGAUAACCAGACUAAAGACUGGCUAAUACAUGUUAGUAACAAAAUUAUUAUGCACAUAUAUGUAUGUAUGUAUAUCAUAUAUAUAUAUCACAUAAAUAUAUAUAUAUAUAUUUAUCUUCACAGUGAAGUAUUUUUUUAGGGAGAUAUAAAAGUGGGAGGAUUUAUAUAUAUAUAUAUAUAAAAUGUAAUAUAUAUACAUAUAUAUGUAUUUAUGUAUGUGGGUAUAUAUAAAAUAUAAAAUUGUUUUCCAUAGGAUAAUUUAUGUAAAUCACAUCGUGAAUAGAAUAUGGUAUUUUUUAAAAAAUGGCAGUAAAAAACCAUUUUACAGAUAAGCAAAACCAAUUAAUUAAAUUUAUUUUUUGUGGGGAACGGUGAGAAACUGCUCCAUCUUUCUGGGCAGCAUUGUAUUGUAGUAAGAGAUGAGAAACACGGGUAACGGAUGAUUAGGGUUAUACGCCGGAGAGGGAGCUUGAGAGGCGGCUCCCACUCCCCAGGGGGGCAGCAGGCGCGCAAAUUGUCCAAUCCUGACAUAUCCUAUCUAACAGAGAGAUACAUGUAAUAGUGUGUUUUUUGACAGGUGGGAAAAAAGGGAGACAGUGACCACAAAUAACAUUUCUCCUGUUUUUGUUUUUUUUUUCCAUGCAUAAUUUAUCUUAUGUGUGAAAGAGGAAAGCAGAUAAAUAUCUGGAGUUGGGUGGAAUGAGAACAUUUCAAAUGAUUUAUUGAGUAACCAUUGGAGGGAAAGUCUGGUGCCAGCAGCCGCGGUAAUUCCAGCUCCAAUAGUGUAAGCUAAAGUUGUUGUGAUUGAAAAGCUCGUAGUUGUAGUCAAUUCUUUUUAUAAAUCAGUUCAGCAAAUAUUCUUUUUAUUACAGGGAGAAAUGUUUAUGUAAUAAAUGAUAUGCGUGUCCUUGAAAAUAAAAAAAAUGAAAAAGUAGUGAGUGGUGGCAAUAUGGUGUGGUUUCCUUCUAGGAGGUCAUUGCAUUUUUUAGUACAGCUCAUUGUUUUUUUAUUUUUUAUACAACAAAAUGUUUUUAGGGAUGUGCAUGUUAUCUUUUUGAUAUUUCUUUUUUAUUUUGCCUUGAAAAAAUUAAAGUGUUCAAAGCAGACUUUAUAUAUAAAUUUUUUUAUGUCUCUGAAUAUCAUUAGCAUGGUACAAAAUAUUUUAUUUAGGUAAUUUAUAUGGUGGUGGKGCAUUUGCAACAAUAUAUAUAAUAAAUUAUCGCUUUUUAAUUAAUUCUAAAUGGAAGUUGUGACAGGACGACUCUGAUUUACUUGAGAGAGGUGAAAUUCUGUGUCCUUGUGAAAGAAGAACAUAGGCAAAAGCAGGUGGAAUUUUUUUAUUGUGAGAAACAUAUGUAUGUAUUUAUAUGUGUUUCACAAAAAACAAUAAUAAAGGAGUAAGCAGACUUUUAUACAAUCAAGAACGAAAGCUAGGGGAUCAAAGACGAUCAGAUACCGUCGUAGUCUUAUCUAUAAACCAUACAAGCCAAACCCUGGAGGAGAAAAUAAAAAUAUAGAGAGUGUAUGCAUGUGUGAUUUUUCAUUCCGCAUGGGUGGUUUUUCUCUAGAUUUUUUAUAUUUAGAGGAAGAGUGUUCAUGUUGAUGUAGAUCGCAUUGUGUGUAUAUUUCACAAAAAAAUAUUAUGCACUUUUUCAGGAUUUUUUUGAUUAAUUAUUUUUGUGAGAAAUCGUUGAGCGUUUGUGUUUCAGGGGGAGUAUGGCCGCAAGACUGAAACUUAAAGGAAUUGACGGAAAGGCACACCAGAGGUGGAGCGUGCGGCUCAAUUUGACUCAACACGGGAAAACUCACCAGGUCCAGACACUAGGAUGACUGACAGACUUCAUAUGUCGGGGCUAUUUUAUUGGUAAAUGGUCCUCACAUAAAAACAUAAAGCUCUUUCGGGAUUUUUUGGGUGGUGGUGCAUGGCCGUUCUUAGUUCGUGGAGUGAUUUGUCUAGUUAAUUCUGUUAACGAGCGAGAUCUCAUCCUGCUAAGGGAGAAUAAAAUAUAAAUUACUAUAAGAUAGUUUAUAAAACAAGUAGGAUUACAAAAAUAUAUUUUGUAAAUAUCAUGCAAACGUUUGUAUUUAGUAGCACGCACAAAUCGUUUUUUGUUUGUUGCUAUUUUAAAGAGUUUGCUUUUGUUUUCAAUGGACUUCUUAGAUACACAUAAUUGUAUGCCAGAUAUUUUUUAAUUUUUUAAAGGGAUUGAUGAUAGAUUAUUUUAUUUAGAGUUAAUCUCUUUUUUGAAAUCAGGAAAUUGGUAUUAAUGGGACCAUCAACGUGAUUAAAACAAGCAAAUGGAUGGAAGAGUGAGGCAAUAACAGGUCUGUGAUGCCCUUCGAUGUCCUGGGCUGCACGCGCGCGACAAUGAUAUAAACAGAAAGUUGUUGGUUUAUUUUAAUUAUAACAGAGAUUUGUUGGGGAAAAGAUAAACCUUGGGUUUGGGUUAUGUUCUUGUUGAAAAUUAAAGAUAUCAUAAAAUAAAAAAUAAAUAAGGGUGUUCUGUAUUCACGGUUUGUCUACACAACUGGCUAAUUUUAACUACCAAAGCUGAAGAGUAUUUAAAAACAAUGGAAAUCAAUAAAUAUAUGUCAUGCUGGGGAUAAAGCCUUGUAACUAUUGCUUUUGAACGUGGAAUCUCUUGUAGCUGCUCGUCAUUCAGCGAGCAUUGACUACGUCCCUGCCCUUUGUACACACCGCCCGUCGCUCCUACCGAUUGGAUGGGCAGAUGAAGGCUCUAUUUGUGAGAGGGGGUCUAGAGCACGCACUCUCUAGCAGAGUAGUGUUCUCUCCUUCGAGCGUGUCUGAAUAUUUUUAUCUAGAGGAAGGAGAAGUCGUAACAAGGUUUUU
rnacentral:rRNA from 1 species